rfam:Candidatus Colwellbacteria bacterium RIFCSPLOWO2_02_FTLL_45_11 rifcsplowo2_02_scaffold_4659, whole genome shotgun sequence.
GCGGGAUUAGUACAGUGGUAGUAUGCGACCUUCCCAAGGUCGAGACGCGAGUUCGAUUCUCGUAUCCCGCU